GUCCACGCCGUAAACGAUGGACACUAGACGUCGGGGAGCGACCCUCCCGGUGUCGUCGCUAACGCAGUAAGUGUCCCGCCUGGGGAGUACGGCCGCAAGGCUGAAACUCAAAGGAAUUGACGGGGCCCGCACAAGCGGUGGAGCAUGUGGUUUAAUUCGAAGCAACGCGAAGAACCUUACCUGGGCUUGACAUGCUGGUGUAAAGCCGGUGGAAACAUCGGCCCCCUCUUCGGAGCGCCAGCACAGGUGCUGCAUGGCUGUCGU
rnacentral:rRNA from 1 species